rnacentral:piRNA from 1 species
CAGACUCAAGAAUGAUCUUUAGUGUGGGUGU